ACUGGGGCCGUUGACUAAGCGAGGGGAUGCAGCCAAUGCCAGGCAGAGCUGGAGAGGAAAGAAAAGAAUGUUUCCCUUUCAUUUCUGCCGCACAAUGCAGUAAUCGAUCUUAUGCCCGUAGACACAAAUGCUCAAUCUCUGGGAAAGAGGCAAAUAAAGCCACAGAAUAGACAUUAGAGCCAACUAAAACCCUCAUUGUCUGCCUUUUCAAAGACUCAAAUUACUAGCAAGGUACUGCAGUGACGGUAGAAAACUCAGGCCAGCGGCCAUCAAGCCCACGGAGCAUAUGAAGAUAACUGGUACCAGGGAACUGAAAGUCAUCACAAGAUGAACUGAAGCUGGAAUCACUCCUACAGAUUGGACAAAGCCACUGACAGAUUGGCUCGGCCUGGCACCAGGCUGCAGAGAUCCUUACCGGAAGCAGCUGCAGCACUCUCUUCAAAUAUCCUGACUGCCAACCUCCGAGGAGACUCCCAGGAGCCUGACCAAGUGAGCCAGGCAUUAGAGAGAGAGCACAGAAAUAAGCUGUGGCCUCUGGACUUGAAGGACACUUUUGAAGACAGCAUUCAUCUUUUAAGAACUGAUGUGUAAGAUAGAGACCAGGAAGGAAAGAACUUGAACUUGCUGGAACAGAUUACAUCCUUGAAACUUCCAAACUUCUGUCACACUCCUCUCAGCUCUUUAUUUUCUUUAGCACAUGUUCUACUUUUCUGCUCCCGUUGGCACUGUUUGUAUAUCAGUCAGUGUAAGUCAAGAUGACGAUAAUUAAAUAUCACUUGAAGUUCAGAGACAAAGUGAUUAAAUUUGAACUUAAAUCUUUCUGAAAUAGGUACCGCUCUUUCACAGAGGGGAAAUUCUACUUGCAUAUUAGUAGGAAUAUAAUUAUCUUAUUCAAAAUACUAAAUCUCUUAAGAAACAAUACAAUAUUAUCUCAGGUAAAAAAGGGUAAUCAGAAAUUCAAAGAAGGUUUUUUCUUACAAUUAUUUCACCUAUUCGGGAAGCGACUGUACUUUCUUCAUACACAGACUUUUGCCUCCGUCCAAGGAUAGAGAACUUCCAGAGAAACCUCUCUUUACCUCCCUUAAUGUGAAAGAAAAAAGGGAGAAAACCUGAAGCCUCUGUGUGGCAGAGAGACGAUGAGGUAGCACAAGCAGCAUAACCUAAUACAGACUUGCCAAGCCAUGACAGCUGCCAUUCAUUUUUUCAAGAAACUGUAAGAAACGAAGAUCACAUGAUGGACUCCUGAGGUGGGCUGGGCCCUCUCCAGCACAAGGGUCUAAUCCCUGCCCACUAGGUUGGGUGUGAGAGAAGGAUGAUCUUUACCAAGAAUCGGGCAUGGUGGAUGUGUGUCCCUAGAUUGUCAAAUCCAGCUUCGCCUAUCAGUAAUCUAAUUCAAAUUCACCUCCCAAAUUGAAGAGCUAUUCAAUUUCCUAUUGCACUGCAACUUUAAUUUCAGCAGUUUCCCUUAUCCUACAUCCAGCAUUGAUUAAGGAAUCCAAAUGCAAAACUCCAAGUUGCAUUACAAGCGAAGGCUGUGCAUCAGUGCUGAAGUGACAAUCAUCCCCAUUCUCAGUGUGAACUGGGAGCAAGAGCUAAUUAAAAUUAUAAGCUAGAGAGAACAUGCUUUGAAAAAGAGAAGCCAUCCCUAACCAAUAAUUCCAGGGAUAAAUCAUACUUGAUUUGCUAACAUAUAGAUGUGUCCAGGAACUAUGAUCUACAAAUGUCUUGAAUAUGGUUCUAAUCAAUCUGCAGAACAAUAAUCAAGGAGGCAUAUAAUUAGAACAGGCUCAUAACGACAAGCAGCACAUAAUGCUGUGUCACCUUGAAACAGUGCAGAGCGUCCCUUCUCCCAAGUCAUAACUGAUAUUAAAUAGAGGCAGUUUCUUCGUCUGAAAUGCACCCUGACAGACUUCUGGCUUUCCUGGUAAGGCAGUUUCAGACUUACACAGGGUCCUGCUCAAAUUUGAUUGAUCCUCCUGCUCUUCCUGCCCUCUGUUCCUCAUACUCUGGCCCUUUCUGUGUCAGAUAGGCUUCUGACCUGAGAGGUCCCUAGAGACUGCAGCUACCAACCCCAGCUGGCACUGUGCAGUCAGUAAUGAAAGAUGACCAGAUAGGAAACUAUGAGUUACUGGCCUCUAGGAGUUCUUGGUGUCAUCACUGGGAUAGGUAUGGCAUUGGAGAAGAGCAAGAACAGUUUUCUAGGACCUUCCAUGUAUCUCAUUCAUUCCGCAUCAGAGACCAGCUUAGUCAAUCAGGAAAGAAAAAUAGCAUCUGGUAGAGAUGACAAUGAUAUUCCAGCUCAUGUCCAUAGCUCCCAGACUGCCCUUGAUGGAGGCCUCAUUUGCCUCUACUUUCCUCCUGCUAACCCUCAAGGAUGCCACGUGCAUUCCUGUCUCAGUGUCUGUUUACCUGCUGAUGUUUGUACUUGGAAUGGUGUAUCUAUAGAUUUUUAAGCAAACAUCCCCCUCUUCACUAUUCUAGUUUCCAACUCACACAUCUAUUGCUCGUCCUGGUCUUUUCUCGUAUUCUAGCUAGACCAGACUUCUCACCGCAGUGUCCUUUCUCAUUUACUCUUCGCCAAGGUGAGAUCAUGCACACCAUCUGGAGCCACACCACUUGAGUUUGAGUGUGGUGUCUCUGUUUACCCACUGUGGGUCAUGAGGCAGGGACUUCAGUACUGUUGUUCAGCAUCUUCAUCAGCAAGAUGAUGGUCGUGAGAACAGUUGUUGGGUUUAUUUUAAGAAUGACAUGAAGUAAUGCAAGUCUUUAGAAUAGAACAAGGUCUGCAGGCAAGCAUACUCUAUCCACGAUCAUUGGUAUUUUCUUCAUAGCACCUAUUGGUAGCUGAAGUUUCCUUCUUUGUGAGUCUAAAUGUUUAUUAGGAGGACAGGGAAUCUGCUUUGUUUCUUACUCUGCCCCCAGAUGCUAGAAUUUUACCUGGAAGAAUAUUUUACUUGGUACCUGCUACCAAAUUAUUGUGUAAUUUAUUGAGUGCUCAAUAAAUUAUUAUUGUCUAGACAUUUUUUUUGAGUGAUUCAAACUUCUGGUAUACUGCCUUUGGGUUUUCAAAUAAGAUGAUACUGGACCAUAGUUUUGCUACUCUCUAGGUCUGCUAUUUAAAACUACUUAUUUAAUCUAUUCAAGUGUUGGUUUUAUCAUUUUUGAAAGAGAUAAUAAUGUUUUACUAGCUGCACUAAUCUCCCUCGAGUCAUCUAGUGUCUUAUCCUGUUUGAUUUUUAUAUAAUUUUCCAACCAUCUAGAGUACUCCUUCUCUACUUUAUUCAUCUGCAUACUCCUAUUUAUCCCUCAAAACCCAGCAAAAUAGAUUUGUAGACCAAUGAUACAGAACAGAGGACUUUGAAACAAACCCACAUAAACACAGUCAUCUCAUACUAGACAAAGGUGCCAAAAAAAAUUGGAUAAAAGAUAGUCUCUACAACAAAUGCUGCUAGGAAAACUGGAAAU